rnacentral:rRNA from 1 species
AUGUUGAUGAUUCCUAGUGUGCUGAUGCGAAAAUGUUUGCUCAAGUUUAUUAUUAAAUCGUAUGCAAUGGACAGAAAAAGGUUCAUCAUGCCAUCAAAAAACGGUGCGAUUUCAUUGCGCAUCGAAGAUGUGUAUGACAUUUUUGGGCUACAGAACAAGGGCAAAGAUGCCAUGAAAGCCCUAGGUAAAGGGGGGUUAAAGGCGAAGGUGAAGGUGCCUAGUCGUUUUGUAGAUUCGAAAAUGGGGCAAAUGAUGAUAGACGAUCUGAUUGACAACAUCGUUGCCAGUGGCACGUACGAUGAUGAUUUCCUCCGUAGAAUUGUUCUGGUUCUUCUGGGCACGGUUCUUGCACCGCAGUCCACCAGAGAAGUUCCUAAUGCUUACUACAAGUUAGUGCACGAUGUGGAGGCCAUCAAAUCAUAUAAUUGGAACGCAUUUACUUUACGCGUUUGCGUGGAAGGCAUCACAAAGACCUUGUCAGAUCUUGAAAAAUUUACUUGGCCGAUCGGAAACCUUGCCCUCAUACAGUACAUGUUUUGGGAGAAAGUGCAGCCACUGGAUGAAGAGGCAUUUGAUCCACUAGCUCAUGAGUAUCCGUUGAUGGUCAAUUGGUCAGAAGAUGAGGCUAUGAAGCGUGACGCAUACGACACGGCAUACGGCCGUGGUAAUGGGACGAUUGAUGACGUGAUAAGUGAGAAGUACAGA